GAUUUUGAGUCCAAAUACUCGUUUCAUCCUCUGGACGACUUCCCUCCACCAGACGAGUACCGACACUUUGCCAAGAUCUACCCCAGCAAGGCCAACAGAGUGAUGAGAGGAGCUCCUCCUCUUCCUCCUGUGGGAAGGUGAACCAUGAAGACGACAUCACAGCUGACACACACACACAGACACACACACACACACACCUCCAUCCUGUUUGAUGACGUCACGUCUGCAGCUUCAUCAUCCUUCACGCCUCCGUCACCGCCUCAUCUACGCUCGCAGCUGAUUGGCUGAGAUCAUGUGACCGAGCAGGAAGUGAUGAAGAGGAGCGGCCCGCUCUGCAAACUCCGACUCGACUCGUCUGCAGCUUCUUCCUCCUCCUCUUCCUCUCUGACGUCUCUUUUCUUUUGUUAAGUUUUUGCACGUGCACUUUUCGUUUGUGAGAGCGGCGAGCAGCCCCCCCCCUCCCCGAGCACGUCUGAGGAAUCCACCACAGAAGAAGAGUCUGUGACUGUGGCUCUGGAUGGAGGGAUGACAAACUGAGAGUGAACGAGUGAUCCACGCUUCCUCCGUUUAAAGGAACAUUUCAACAUUUCUUUCCUUUCUUUCUCUGUCAGAGUUCAGAGCGGGAGUGUUCGAAAUGAU